GUUUCCAUGGUGUAGUGGUUAUCACGUGCGCCUCACACGCGCAAAGUCCCCGAUUCAAUCCCGGGCGGAAACA